AUGUAGCGUGGACGGUUUGUUGCAGCUGUUGUUGUUGUAGUUGUUGUUGUUGUGGGUUUUGUUGUGGUGGUCGUGGUGGUUGUUGUGGGGGCUGUUGUGGUGGUCGUGGUGGUUGUUGUGGUGGCUGUUGUGGUAGUUGCCGCAGCUGUUGUGAUAGUUGCAGCAGCUGUUGUAGGGGCUUUUGUGGUAGUGGUGGUAGCUGUUGUGGGUGCUGUUGUGGCUGUCGUUGUAGUUGCACCAACUGUUGUGGUAGCUGUUGUGGUAGUGGUGGGAGCUGUUGUGGUAAUGGUGAGAGCUGUUGUGGGUGCGUCUGUGGUAGUGGUGGGAGCUGUUGUGGUAGUUGCUGCAGCUGUUGUGGUAGUUGCUGGAGCUGUUGUGGUAGUUGUAGUUGCUGUUGUGGGGGCCAUUGUGGGUGCUGUUGUGGUAGUGGUGGUAGCUGUUGUGGUAAGUGCUGCAGCUGUUAUGGGUGCUGUUGUGGUAGUUGCUGCAGCUGUUGUAGGGGCUUUUGUGGUAGUGGUGGUAGCUGUUGGGGCUGUCGUUGUAGUUGCAGCAGCUGUUGUGGUAGCUGUUGUGGUAGUGGUGGGAGCUGUUGUGGUAGUGGUGAGAGCUGUUGUGGGUGCCGUUGUUGUAGUUGCAGCAGCUGUUGUGGUAGUUGCAACAGCUGUUGCGGGCGCGUUUGUGGUAGUGGUGGGAGCUGUUGUGGUAGUUGCUGCAGCUGUUGUGGUAGUUGCUGGAGCUGUUGUGGUAGUUGUAGUUGCUGUUGUGGGGGCCAUUGUGGGUGCUGUUGUGGUAAGUGCUGCAGCUGUUAUGGGAACUGUUGUGGUGGUUGCAGCAGCUGUGGUUGUUGUAGUCGCUGUAGUUGCUGUUGUGGGUGCUGUUAUGGGAGCUGUGGUAGUUGCAGCAGCUGUUGUGGUAGUUUCUGGAGCUGUUGUGGGUGCUGUUGUGGUAGUGGUGGGAGCUGCUGUGGUAGCUGUUGUGGUAGUUUCUGGAGCUGUUGUGGGUGCUGUUGUGGUAGUUGCAGCAGCUGUUGUGGUAGUUACAGCAGCUGUUAUGGGGGUGAUUGUGGUAGUGGUGAGAGCUGUUGUGGUAGUUGCAGCAGCUGUUGUCGUAGUUUCUGGUGCUGUUGUGGUAGUUAUAGUUGCUGUUGUGGGAGCCAUUGUGGGUGCUGCUGUGGUUGUGGUGGGAGCUGUUGUGGUAAUUAAUGCAGCUGUAAUGGGGACUGUCGUGAUGGUUGCAGUAGCUGUGGUUGUUGUAGUCGAUGUAGUUGCUGUUGUGGGUGCUGUGGGUGCUGUGGUGAUAGUUGUAGUUGCUGUUAUGGGGGCCGUUGUAGUAGUUGUAGUUGCUGUUGUGGGGGCUGUUGUGGUAGUUGUAGUUUCUGUUGUCAUGGUUGCAGCAGCUGUUGUGGUAUUUGCAGCAGCUGUUGUGGUGGUUACAGCAGCUGUUGUGGUAGUUUCUGGAGCUGUGGGUGCUGUUGUGGUAGUGGUGGGAGCUGUUGUGGGUGCUGUUGGAGAAGGAGAAGGAGAAGUGCUGUUCACUAAGGAGAAGUGCUGUCACUUAGGACAUCU
ensembl:lncRNA